rnacentral:rRNA from 1 species
GGGUUGUGAGGUUAAGCGACUAAGCGUACACGGUGGAUGCCCUGGCAGUCAGAGGCGAUGAAGGACGUGCUAAUCUGCGAUAAGCGCCGGUAAGGUGAUAUGAACCGUUAUAACCGGCGAUUUCCGAAUGGGGAAACCCAGUGUGAUUCGUCACACUAUCAUUAACUGAAUCCAUAGGUUAAUGAGGCGAACCGGGGGAACUGAAACAUCUAAGUACCCCGAGGAAAAGAAAUCAACCGAGAUUCCCCCAGUAGCGGCGAGCGAACGGGGAGGAGCCCAGAGCCUGAAUCAGCAUGUGUGUUAGUGGAAGCGUCUGGAAAGGUGCGCGAUACAGGGUGACAGCCCCGUACACAAAAGCGCAUGUGCUGUGAGCUCGAUGAGUAGGGCGGGACACGUGGUAUCCUGUCUGAAUAUGGGGGGACCAUCCUCCAAGGCUAAAUACUCCUGACUGACCGAUAGUGAACCAGUACCGUGAGGGAAAGGCGAAAAGAACCCCGGCGAGGGGAGUGAAAAAGAACCUGAAACCGUGUACGUACAAGCAGUGGGAGCACCCUUCGGGGUGUGACUGCGUACCUUUUGUAUAAUGGGUCAGCGACUUAUAUUCUGUAGCAAGGUUAACCGUAUAGGGGAGCCGGAGGGAAACCGAGUCUUAACCGGGCGUUAAGUUGCAGGGUAUAGACCCGAAACCCGGUGAUCUAGCCAUGGGCAGGUUGAAGGUUGGGUAACACUAACUGGAGGACCGAACCGACUAAUGUUGAAAAAUUAGCGGAUGACCUGUGGCUGGGGGUGAAAGGCCAAUCAAACCGGGAGAUAGCUGGUUCUCCCCGAAAGCUAUUUAGGUAGCGCCUCGUGAAUUCAUCUCCGGGGGUAGAGCACUGUUUCGGCUAGGGGGCCAUCCCGGCUUACCAACCCGAUGCAAACUGCGAAUACCGGAGAAUGUUAUCACGGGAGACACACGGCGGGUGCUAACGUCCGUCGUGAAGAGGGAAACAACCCAGACCGCCAGCUAAGGUCCCAAAGUCAUGGUUAAGUGGGAAACGAUGUGGGAAGGCCCAGACAGCCAGGAUGUUGGCUUAGAAGCAGCCAUCAUUUAAAGAAAGCGUAAUAGCUCACUGGUCGAGUCGGCCUGCGCGGAAGAUGUAACGGGGCUAAACCAUGCACCGAAGCUGCGGCAGCGAACGUAUCACCCAAGACAACUUUACGGAGUUGACGAUUGACGGAGCGAAGCGACGUCAAAGCGUUCAUUAAAGUCGAGUUGGCUUAGGGAUACGUUCGUUGGGUAGGGGAGCGUUCUGUAAGCCUGUGAAGGUGUGUCGUGAGGCAUGCUGGAGGUAUCAGAAGUGCGAAUGCUGACAUAAGUAACGAUAAAGCGGGUGAAAAGCCCGCUCGCCGGAAGACCAAGGGUUCCUGUCCAACGUUAAUCGGGGCAGGGUGAGUCGACCCCUAAGGCGAGGCCGAAAGGCGUAGUCGAUGGGAAACGGGUUAAUAUUCCCGUACUUGGUGUUACUGCGAAGGGGGGACGGAGAAGGCUAUGUUGGCCGGGCGACGGUUGUCCCGGUUUAAGCGUGUAGGUGUGUGUUCCAGGUAAAUCCGGUUCACUUUAACACUGAGGCGUGACGACGAGGCACUACGGUGCUGAAGCAACAAAUGCCCUGCUUCCAGGAAAAGCCUCUAAGCAUCAGGUAACACGAAAUCGUACCCCAAACCGACACAGGUGGUCAGGUAGAGAAUACCAAGGCGCUUGAGAGAACUCGGGUGAAGGAACUAGGCAAAAUGGUGCCGUAACUUCGGGAGAAGGCACGCUGACACGUAGGUGAAGUGAUUUACUCAUGGAGCUGAAGUCAGUCGAAGAUACCAGCUGGCUGCAACUGUUUAUUAAAAACACAGCACUGUGCAAACACGAAAGUGGACGUAUACGGUGUGACGCCUGCCCGGUGCCGGAAGGUUAAUUGAUGGGGUCAGCGCAAGCGAAGCUCCUGAUCGAAGCCCCGGUAAACGGCGGCCGUAACUAUAACGGUCCUAAGGUAGCGAAAUUCCUUGUCGGGUAAGUUCCGACCUGCACGAAUGGCGUAAUGAUGGCCAGGCUGUCUCCACCCGAGACUCAGUGAAAUUGAACUCGCUGUGAAGAUGCAGUGUACCCGCGGCAAGACGGAAAGACCCCGUGAACCUUUACUAUAGCUUGACACUGAACAUUGAGCCUUGAUGUGUAGGAUAGGUGGGAGGCUUUGAAGUGUGGACGCCAGUCUGCAUGGAGCCGACCUUGAAAUACCACCCUUUAAUGUUUGAUGUUCUAACGUGGACCCGUAAUCCGGGUUGCGGACAGUGUCUGGUGGGUAGUUUGACUGGGGCGGUCUCCUCCUAAAGAGUAACGGAGGAGCACGAAGGUUGGCUAAUCCUGGUCGGACAUCAGGAGGUUAGUGCAAUGGCAUAAGCCAGCUUGACUGCGAGCGUGACGGCGCGAGCAGGUGCGAAAGCAGGUCAUAGUGAUCCGGUGGUUCUGAAUGGAAGGGCCAUCGCUCAACGGAUAAAAGGUACUCCGGGGAUAACAGGCUGAUACCGCCCAAGAGUUCAUAUCGACGGCGGUGUUUGGCACCUCGAUGUCGGCUCAUCACAUCCUGGGGCUGAAGUAGGUCCCAAGGGUAUGGCUGUUCGCCAUUUAAAGUGGUACGCGAGCUGGGUUUAGAACGUCGUGAGACAGUUCGGUCCCUAUCUGCCGUGGGCGCUGGAGAACUGAGGGGGGCUGCUCCUAGUACGAGAGGACCGGAGUGGACGCAUCACUGGUGUUCGGGUUGUCAUGCCAAUGGCACUGCCCGGUAGCUAAAUGCGGAAGAGAUAAGUGCUGAAAGCAUCUAAGCACGAAACUUGCCCCGAGAUGAGUUCUCCCUGAGACUUAGAGUCUCCUGAAGGAACGUUGAAGACGACGACGUUGAUAGGCCGGGUGUGUAAGC